UGCUGAUUCAAUACGUAAGUGCUCAUUUGAACUAAUGGCAUAAGAGAGAUUUCUGUUAUUGGAUUACUUUGGUUUGCAUUAUUAAUGUGGCAACAUUACAUCCAGAUAAACCAGCAAUUAGCUGUUUCCAAUCACGUAAUUGUUAAUCUUUUCCUAAAAGAUGGGAAGUAGCAUGCGGACUCCUCUCUUGACUGCUGGAGAGAGCAAUAGCAGAACACGGAGCAUUUUUAAUCUUUUGUAUCCAGCAUUUAUGUACUUACAAUAAAAACAAAGCACCAUUUACAAAUCCUAUGUCAUCUACUGAAACUUGUAAAAUUUGGGAACUAAGUAAGUUAGGUGUUUUUUUUUUUUUCAAAGCAAUUGAGAGUUAUUCUUGUUAUGACUGCUUCCUGUUCCUGUGCUGAAUUAAGCUGGGACAGCAGCAGUGUGGUUGGUAGGGCUCAUUUCCCCACUUCCCCUCCUCCAGUUUAAUUUACAAGCUGCUGGACAUUGUCCAACAGGAAAUCCAGUCUUAUUGAGAAAACCAUCAGAAGUUGCAGAAGAUACUGGCUUUAAAUUAUAGUGUGGUUUCAAAUGAGAUCUAGAAAUGUUUCCAGGAACCCAGACAAGAGUUGGUCCCUCCUCAUGCCAGUUUUUGGCAAAGCUGAACCGCUUGGCACACCUUCCCAGAGCAGCCCAUGGACGGGACCCCAUGUGGGUGGCCAGGGAACCAACCUGCAGAAAACCUUGCAGAACCAGGUGAGCCCGGUCACCCCAACAUUUCCUGAGUCCGUCUGCUUAGGUCCUGAUCUGUGGGAUUUUCUACAUCUCAAGAUAGAAGCAUGAGGUGCUGCCAGCCUGGUCCCAUGCUGCAAGACCCCUGUGAGCACAGCGUGCCCGUGCCGUAGCACCAGUACUGCCACAUCAGACCUUGGAGCAGUCUGAAACUGCAACAGAGAUGCUGUGUGUCUGCAGACAGGCACAGAGAAAGGGUGAAAUGUCCCUUCUUUGUCUCUUUCCGCUGAAGAGAAAAAGUGAACAAGAAUUGAAAUUCCUGGGAGGAAACAAAGUAACCCUACCUGGUGGACCAUGGUUUUUUUAUACAGGAUAAAUCAUCUGACAUAUGUAGGGAAACCACUCUGGAGUGCCUCUGCUGACUGUGCAGGAAUAUGAUCCUGCAGGGCUAUAUAUAUGGUGUCUGCUCCAAGACCUGUCAGAUACUGGAAAUGCAGACAGAUAUAGUACUGUUGCUGCACUGACAGAGAGAAAUCAGAGGUUCAACAGCUCCACGGAUGACACUGUAGUUAAAAGGGAUAAAAAUAUUAAAAAAAAAAUGUUCAGAAGGUAUCAGUUUACAGUGAGCUCAAGUCUCCAAUUUGUAGAGAGUUGUUUGCUCUUAGAGAUGAUGGUAUGCUGCUCCCAGCAAACCUAAGUAAACAUUUUUUUACCAAGCCAGAAUGUUUUUCCUACAGCUACCUCAGGCAUACAGAAGCUCUUAGCUUCAGUUCAGAAGAGUAUUUUACUAGAGGAUUCACAUAAGGAAAAUGAAGCUCUAGGACCUGAUCCUAUAAAUCUCAUCAGUCAAAGGAAAGCAGGAAAGCAUAAAUGUUAAGCUACUGUGGAGAUAAAAGCCAGACAAGACACGAGGCCAGAUGUGGAAGAAAGAAAGUCCAACUUCAUAAUCACGUUGGUGGCAUUUUGUUUUGAUUUUUCUGUUUUUUAAUACCAUAUCCAUAAAAUGCACUCAGAGUGCACCCUUUCCAGAAACUCAGAGAUUUAUGUGCUUCAGCAGCUACUGAUCUAGUGUGACUGAAACAUCGUGAAAUAAAAAUGUUCUGGGUAAUCCAACUGAAUGCAAUUCGUAUAACAAAAAAAAAAUUAAAGUGAUGUUUGCAUCUGAGCAAGUUUGCAUAGCCAAGAUUACUUGACCUGUUGUUAAGCUUUGUGCUUCAGUGCUUUUCUGGGAAACACUGUCAGCUUUUUAAACUGAAAGGCUGCAGGUCAGACGGGAAAGCUCGUAACCCUUCUCUGAUUUCCGUGGGGAAGAGCAGAGCUGAGGAUCAGACUUCAGGGUACAGGAAUGCAAAGACUUGGAACUGUGCACAGCUCAGAGGGCUGACUGAGCCUGCCUUGCAGGUCUCUGUGCUUGGCACACACGGGUCUGUGUGGCUCCUUGCAGCACUGAGUACUGCAAUUCCCCCAGCAGUGUAAUAACCAACCUGGGGAGAGCAUGUUGAGCGAUGCACCCGCUUUCUGCAUUGAGGUUUGGGGCUCAUUUUGCAAGGCAACACCAGCUUCUGGCUUUCAAAGAGUGAUGUUCUACAGAAGCUACUUCUUGAGGAAAGGAGAAGGUCCCAAGUAUCCCCAGUCGCUAGAAGGUUGGGAGGAAUUGGCUUAAGAUGUUUCUGCCAAAAAUAUCAGCUGUGCCUGGCCGGGUCUGCUCAUGCCUGGCAGACGCGCAUGCGUAUGUCGCAGUAACCAGAAGGAAAUGUUACUCAGCUCCGUUUUCCUGAGGGUCUGUGGCACAGAGGUAUCCGUGCUGUCCCACAGAGAGAGGCUUCGAUAGAGACAGCGAGCCAGUGCUGGCAGCAGCAGCAUGAUGCUGUGCAGAGGGGAGAAAAGGGACAAGCAUGUCCAAAGAAACCUCCUGUUGGAUCUCUUGAAUCUCCCGUAGUGGGACUGACCUCCUGCAGCGAUUGAGAAGAUGAGUUUGGAGCAUUUUCUAGGAACAGGCCUUUCCAGGAACAGGCUGUUACUGAGUAACAAAGAGCAACUGUGGUCUGAAGGCAGUGCUGGAACAAGCGACAUCUGCAAAGGAGACUUGAGUCUUUCCUUGCUCUUUGUUCUGGCAGUCCAGGCACUGCAGCCUUUUUUGUGUGGACCUUUGCACUGUAAAUAGCUCUGUGAGGGAGCUGCUCCCAUAGCCAUUUCCUCUCCUGCUCCAAAUACCCAUGAUGCCUGCCAAAGCAUGAAGGACGUCAGAGCCGGAUAUAUGAUCAUUUCCAGUUUCUGUUUUGUAUUGCUUUCGAAUUCUUCAGGAAGCUCAGAGCAGCUCUGCCACAGGCCCUUGCAAGCUCCACGGCUGGCAGGGGGGCAGCUCUCAGCUAUGGGUAUGUGACCCACGAUAGUUAAUGUUGCAGGGAUGGCAAAGUGGUGAAGAAAGUGUUGUCUGGGUCCAAAACUGGGAGAUUGAAUGGAGGCUGAAGCACAGCAGCAAGCAAAGAAAAAUCCUGUGAAUUGGAAUUAUUGGUGGCCACCUGUUUCAGCUUCUUCUCUUUGUAGGUAAUGUGUCUCUAGGGUAGAGCGCAGAGCAGAGACUUUGCUGGUAAGUAACGAUAUCCCCCCCCUCUAAGGAAUUUGACCUUGGCUGGCUGUCCGACACCAAGCUAGCUGCUGUCUCACUCCCCAUUCUCAGCAUGACAGGAGAGAGAAAAUAAGAUGGA